rnacentral:lncRNA from 1 species
UCGAUCGUGGUAUUAGUCACCCAUCCCACUUCAUAAAGCAUGAGCAUAAAGUGGUUAAUCAAAGCAGUGUGUGCAUGUACUGUGUCCGCUGGCUCAUCCUGUGCAACGAUUCUAAUAGCAAGAUAUGUGACCACUGAGGAAGUUGGGUUCCGCGAUCAAAUAGCCCAACACAAUUAGGACCCAACCCACGUAUCAUUCCAAAGUACGUGGGCCUCCUCAAGAUAGGAAUGAUAUAGGGCAGAUCUUUUAGUGUUUUAUUACGUGCUUUACAUAGUAGUGUUGUUACGCCUCCGAUCUGAAAUUAUGAAUCGAAGGUCAUGACAACCACCGCAUACUUAUAGAAAAUUCUUCCCAUAAGCAUGCAAGGCAUCUUAUCAUGCUAUCCUAAAACAACAACGAAAUAAUUAGAUAAUAAUUUAAAUCUAAAAUAUAACGACCUAAAUUUAUUCUUUAAUGUCUCAAUAAAUUCAACAAUGAUUUAUAGUCCUUACAUCAAAUUCAAUAAGACUUUCAACCGAAAAUAAAAGUAUAGAGAUUCUGCUUCUGAUCACUCUUCCAUUCAUAUCUUGCAUCAUCUUAAUUUCUCAACAUCUGUAAAAACAGUAAAAUAAGAGGUAAUGAGCUAGACAGCUCAGUAAGCAAUGAUCACUUCUCAAUAUAUUUCAUCAGGCAUUUAAGUAAAUAAUUAUUUAUAGAAAAUAAGCAUAUAGAGUUCAUCAAUUUGAAAUCAAUUUCAAUUAUGCAACAUAAUUUAUGCCAAAUUUAUUUCUUUUUCGAAAAUUCAAGUUUCUUUUCAGAUUUUAAUUUCUUUCGUUCUUAAAUUUUUUUCAUCAACCAUGAGCUAUGACC